rnacentral:rRNA from 1 species
CAGUCGCCGCGGUAAUACGAAGGGUGCAAGCGUUAAUCGGAAUUACUGGGCGUAAAGCGUGCGUAGGCGGUGAGUUAAGUCUGCUGUGAAAUCCCCGGGCUCAACCUGGGAAUGGCAGUGGAUACUGGCUCGCUAGAGUGUGGUAGAGGAUAGUGGAAUUUCCGGUGUAGCAGUGAAAUGCGUAGAGAUCGGAAGGAACAUCUGUGGCGAAGGCGACUAUCUGGGCCAACACUGACACUGAGGCACGAAAGCGUGGGGAGCAAACAGGAUUAGAUACCCCUGUAGUCCCUGUCUCUUAUAC